ensembl:lncRNA
UUCUUCUCCCUGGUCACCAGGCAGCGACAGAGCCCUCUGUUCUCACCUGCCCACCAGUGGCUGAAGCAUUACCAGGUCUGAACACCUGAGGUCGCCUCUGUCCCAGCUUCCUGCCAUAUCCUCUGGCAAGUACUGUGGCCCAGCAGGCCAGAAGGACAACUCCCAGAACUAUGGAAAUAGCCCUGGGGGAGGAACAGAGCACUGGAAGCAACCUCCAGCAAGACCUGAAGGAGGAGUCCAUCCAGGUCUUGUCCCACCAAUGUCUGAGGACAUCCCUAGAAGUCCAUGUGGGCAUCAUCCCUGGUGUGCAGGUGGGGACACGGACAGGCUUUGAGAGACACAAGGACUCAUCCAGGAUGGAGAACAUGUAGGAAUCGGGAGGGCUAUGUCCACCAACCAGGGCACCUGGCUGUACCAUUACCCUGAGGAUUUCCACCAGCCCCCAGAAUUUCCCUG